UUUCUCUUCAUUGGCUUUAUUACCAUAUAACACAAGCUCACAGCCUCUAAUGUUACAAACCUUAUACACAAAUGGCCAAACAAGAAAUUUUCCUUUCCAAAAGCUAAUUUAUUCCGGUUUCCCCUCUUUGUUUUUAUUUUUAUUUUUGAGACAGAGUUUUGCUCUUCUCACCCAGGCUGGAGUGCAAUAGUGUCAUCUCUGGUCACUGCAACCUUCACCUCCUGGAUUCAAGCAAUUCUCCAGCCUCAGCCUCCUAAGUAGCUGAGGUGGGAGGAUUGCUUGAGCCCAGGAGGCAGAGGUUGCAGUGAGCCGACAUCAUGCCACUGCACUCCAGCCUGGGCAACAGAGCAAGACUCUGUC